GUAAGCUGGACAGCCGCGUGGACAGCGCCGAAAGGCCGUUCAUGAGGAAAGUCCGGGCUCCAUAGGGCAAGGAUAACGGAUAACAUCCGCCGGGGGCGACCCUAGGAAAAGUGCAACAGAGAAAUACCGCCUCAUCCCCAAAUGGGGCCCCCGCAAAAGCGUCUGCUUUCGUGGGGAGAGGAGGCGCAGCGGAAUGCGCGAGCUUUGUCCCUUGGGACGAAGCGAGGGAUAUGAAGCUUGCGCCGACGAUGAGGUAAGGGUGGAAAGGCGAGGUAAGAGCUCACCCGAUGGCUGGAGACUGCCCAUCGCUGUAAACUCUAUCCGGAGCAACACCGUGGAGGGACAUGCGGCCGGCCCGGCCGUCCCGGGGAGGUGGCUGGAACGCGCCGGCAACGGCGCGUCUAGAUAGAUGGCUGUCUUAAAGGACAGAACCCGGCUUACAGGCUUGCUUG
rnacentral:RNase_P_RNA from 1 species